rnacentral:rRNA from 1 species
UACGUAGGGUGCGAGCGUUGUCCGGAAUUACUGGGCGUAAAGAGCUCGUAGGUGGUUUGUCGCGUUGUUCGUGAAAUUCCCUGGCUUAACUGGGGGCGUGCGGGCGAUACGGGCAGACUGGAGUACUGCAGGGGAGACUGGAAUUCCUGGUGUAGCGGUGGAAUGCGCAGAUAUCAGGAGGAACACCGGUGGCGAAGGCAGGUCUCUGGGCAUUAACUGACGCUGAGGAGCGAAAGCAUGGGGAGCGAACAGG